UUGUUCCUUUUUUAUACCUAGCACUUUGACCAAAUCUGUGGGAAGUGCACUAAAUAGGUAACAUGCUGAUGGUAGGUACAGUAAUCAUACUAAAAGUGGGGAUGGGCAGCCAAGUAUUUAUAGCCAUGGCUUGCAGCAGAACAAAUGAGAACUGCUGCAACAAGGACAGCCCUGGGGAAGGAAUAUUUUGUUGCUCUGGAAACACGGUCGGAGUCAAUAACUAGCUGGAGAGCAGAGCUGCCAGAACUUGGGUGGGAGGGAGACACUGAUACAGGAAACAGGAGAGAAAGAUUUGUGUAGGUCCUUCUUUACCAUCAUAAGGAGCAGCAGCUGACCAAUGACCUGCAAUUCACAAAAUUUUUCCACGAUGGGAAAGUGGACAUUGACAACUGCUCCAUAAUCAUCAGCAAAAACAACUUAUACCUAAGGUGUGAGGAGGG